rnacentral:misc_RNA from 1 species
AUGCCGGCGUCCAUGAAGGAGGAGGCCACCGAUGUCGAGUUCAUCCAGAAGAGGAGCGCGUCUGGCGCGGAGCCUGAGCUGAUGCUGAACAACCGUGUCUACACCUGCCACAAUGUCCAGUGCCCGCAUAGCGACUAUGGAUACGGGUUCCUUGACCGGAACGCGCGCAACAGCCACCAAUACACUUGCAAGUACAAUGAUCCACUCCAGCAGAGCACGGAGAACAAGCCAUCGCCACCGGCCAUCUUCCCGGCAACCUACAACACGCCGAACCAGGCUCUGAACAAUCUGGAUUUCGGCCUGCCCAUGGAUGGCCAGAGGUCAAUUACAGAGCUGAUGAACAUGUACGACA